rnacentral:misc_RNA from 1 species
AGGGAGAGGGGCUGGCGGCUGAUGGCUUGCUGUUGUCCGUCUCGCCUGCUGGCUGUUACUCGCCGGAGAAAGAGGGGGAAGGGAACAAAGGAGAAGAAGGGAGAUGGCUUGAGCUACUGUCCGUUUGGAGUUGUUGUUGUUUAUUGUUUUCACUGGAGAAGUUGGCGACUGAUGGCACUGCUGCUUCAUCCUCGUCAGUGGUGGCGUGAGCUCGGAGGUGAGCUGAUUCCAUGGCUAUUCGCCGGAGGAGAAGAGAGACGAGAGGAUGAGGGGAGAA